ensembl:lncRNA
GAGAAGAUGAAACGAGCGGAGACGCACGACAUGCGGAGCGGAGAAGCUGGAAAAUAAAGGUUACUGACUGCCAGUCACACUCCAUCUCGUCACAAGCCGCGCUGGAGGACGGGGGCUUCGUGUGCGGGAGCGAUGCGUCACACUUGCUCACAAGCAGCACUGAAGCCAGUCGGAGAGCGACGCCGAACACUGAGUGGCUGAAAAGGAAGCGAGAGAGCGAGCUUCCCCCUGGGCUUGAGGCGAACAUUGCUUCGUAGAGCUCAGAGAUCAGGAUGAAGAUUGUCCAAACAGCAGGCCACUGUUAUUGAACCUACGUUGUUGAGAAAGUCAGGUGACACAGAGGAACUACUGAAGACUAUUUUCUGUUCCAGCUAGAGCCCACUGAUGUAACUUGCAAGCCUGAUACACACCAAAAGGUCAAGUACCUUGUUCAAGGGUUAAUUUGAAUGUAUCUUACAUACUGUACAUAUACCUGAAACCACAUCUUAACCAAUCAAUCUUGAAAGGCUUGUCAAGAAAAAUUAUUUCUUGCACCAGAUUAAGAGAUUCACAAGCAUAUCAUAAUGUUAAAAUUGUGUAGCUCUGUUCCAAAUAUCUGAAAUAUCCUACCAGAAAGAACUGCUGAAUGUUAACAGUAACAAUGUGUAUAACAGCAAUGGCACUCAUGCAACCCUGAUGCCACUGAAGAAAAUGUAACAAGACAAUUCCAAAGGUUAUUAAAACUAUUCUGAAGCUCAAACUUAGUGAAAUGAGGCUGAAUGAAGAC